rnacentral:rRNA from 1 species
AGUGAACGCUGGCGGUAGGCCUAACACAUGCAAGUCGAACGGCAGCACAGUAAGAGCUUGCUCUUACGGGUGGCGAGUGGCGGACGGGUGAGGAAUACAUCGGAAUCUACUUUUUCGUGGGGGAUAACGUAGGGAAACUUACGCUAAUACCGCAUACGACCUACGGGUGAAAGCAGGGGAUCUUCGGACCUUGCGCGAUUGAAUGAGCCGAUGUCGGGUUAGCUAGUUGGCGGGGUAAAGGCCCACCAAGGCGACGAUCCGUAGCUGGCCUGAGAGGAUGAUCAGCCACACUGGAACUGAGACACGGUCCAGACUCCUACGGGAGGCAGCAGUGGGGAAUAUUGGACAAUGGGCGCAAGCCUGAUCCAGCCAUACCGCGUGGGUGAAGAAGGCCUUCGGGUUGUAAAGCCCUUUUGUUGGGAAAGAAAAGCAGCAGGUUAAUACCCCGCUGUUCUGACGGUACCCAAAGAAUAAGCACCGGCUAACUUCGUG